rnacentral:misc_RNA from 1 species
GAAAUGCGAUAAGUAAUGUGAAUUGCAGGAUUCCGUGAAUCAUCGAAUCUUUGAACGCACAUUGCGCCCUCUGGCAUUCCGGGGGGCAUGCCUGUCCGAGCGUCAUUACGCACCCUCAAGCCCGGCUUGUGUGAUGGGCCCUGGCGUCUCGUUCGCGAGACGGGCCCGAAAGGCAGCGGCGGCGUCGACCCGAUGAGCCCGAGCGUAUGGGGACUUUUGUCACACGUUUGCGGUGCGGACCGGCGCCUGCUUGACUUUUCUGAUUAUCCAGGUUGACCUCGGAUCAGGUAGGGAUACCCGCUGAACUUAAGC